GACCUCAAAUCAGGUAGGACUACCCGCUGAACUUAAGCAUAUCAAUAAGCGGAGGAAAAGAAACUAACAAGGAUUCCCCUAGUAACUGCGAGUGAAGCGGGAAAAGCUCAAAUUUAAAAUCUGGCAGUCUUUUGGCUGUCCGAGUUGUAAUCUAGAGAAGUGCUAUCCGCGCUGGACCGUGUACAAGUCUCCUGGAAUGGAGCAUCAUAGAGGGUGAGAAUCCCGUCUUUGACAUGGACUGCCAGGGCUUUUGUGAUGCGCUCUCAAAGAGUCGAGUUGUUUGGGAAUGCAGCUCAAAAUGGGUGGUAAAUUCCAUCUAAAGCUAAAUAUUGGCGAGAGACCGAUAGCGAACAAGUACCGUGAGGGAAAGAUGAAAAGAACUUUGGAAAGAGAGUUAAACAGUACGUGAAAUUGCUGAAAGGGAAACGCUUGAAGUCAGUCGCGUCGUCCAGGGAUCAACCUCGCUUUUGCUUGGUGCACUUUCUGGUUCGAUGGGUCAGCAUCAAUUUUGACCAUUGGAAAAAGAUCAGGGGAACCGUGGCAUCUCUGGAUGUGUUUAUAGCCCUUGGUCACAUACAAUGGUUCGGGAUUGAGGAACUCAGCACGCCGCAAGGCCGGGUUUAAACCACG
rnacentral:rRNA from 1 species